GAUCACAGUGAUGACCACAUAAAAUUCAAGCUCAACAGACCGGAAUGCAGGGUUCCUCUCUCUCUCUCUAUUGGGAGGAUACUUUGCGUGUCGAUAACCCCGCUGAACUGAGUGAUC